CCGACCUUAUGUGUGGCAUCUCUCCGAACCCCCUCGACCGUCCGAACUUCUCCGAUAAUGAACUUCUACAUUCAUCUACUGGGCUACCCCAAAAGCUCUCUGGGCCUCACUGCCAGUCGACCUUCUACAGUAAUCAACUAUUCUCCGAAUCCUUUCUGGAUCCCAACCGAGCUCCCGCAAGAGCCGAACUUCUACUACGAGCGGUCUACUCCAAAUUCCUACAGCGGGCUGUCUACCCCAGAUAUCUACUCUA
rnacentral:lncRNA from 1 species